UACGUAGGGAGCGAGCGUUGUCCGGAAUCAUUGGGCGUAAAGAGCGCGUAGGUGGAUCAAUUAGUCUGCUGUGAAAGUCAAAGGCUCAACCUUUGAAAGCCGGUGGAUACUGUUGAUCUAGAGUACGGAAGAGGCGAGUGGAAUUCCUGGUGUAGCGGUGGAAUGCGCAGAUAUCAGGAGGAACACCAAUAGCGAAGGCAGCUCGCUGGGACGUUACUGACACUGAGGCGCGAAAGCGUGGGGAGCGAACAGG
rnacentral:rRNA from 1 species